rnacentral:snRNA from 1 species
AUGCAAGAAAGACCAUCAUGAUCUUCAAGGUGAUUUUCCCAGGGCAACGCUGCUCCAUUGCACUCCGGGUGUGCUGACCCCUGCGAUUUCCCCAAAUGUGGGAAACUUGACUGCAUAAUUUAUCCUACUGGAGGACUGCAUUCAUACUUUCCCUUG